GGGCCGAGGCCCUUCGCAGUGUCACUGUCGAGCUGUUGAGUGUUGCUGUUGAUGUUGAUGUCGAUGUCAUUCAUCGGUCGUCGGUGCAUUUGACUAAAUUGCACCUUAUUGUGUUGUAUGAUUGUGUAGUUGGUGGAGAAGCUUUUCGAGUUUGUUAAUUACCUAUAAUACCGAGCCAGAGAUACCGAAGUCGUUAUGAAGUUCGGGGUUAUUAUCGUGGUAGUGAUUUUUGUCACGUUUCAGACUAUUAUCGAUGUGGAUUCCAAUCCGACUUAUGAUCUUCAAGGGAUAUUAGAAAGCCUUUUACAAAUUAAUAAGCAAGUAGCCAAAAUCAGCCAAAUGCUUCGCCUUCAACCGCUGGUAGGAGAAGGGUUCCAGCCAUUCAACAGAGGCGAGCAAUAAUAGUAUUCGGAUUUCAAACUCGCAAAAAAACAUCGAAUUUUUUCAAAACACGGGUAACUUAAACGACCCGCGAAUGUAAUAAAAUUCACGCGAAAUGUACACACAUAAAAAUGGAAUAAAUACAAAUUGAAUUGGCACAAUAACAA